CUACGGGUGGCUCCAGUGGGGAAUAUUGCACAAUGGGGGGAACCCUGAUGCAGCAACGCCGCGUGGAGGAUGACGCAUUUCGGUGUGUAAACUCCUUUUAUAUGUCAAGAAAAUGACGGUAGCAUAUGAAUAAGCGCCGGCUAACUCCGUGCCAGCAGCCGCGGUAAUACGGAGGGCGCAAGCGUUACUCGGAAUCACUGGGCGUAAAGGACGCGUAGGCGGGUUGAAAAGUCAGGUGUGAAAGCCUACAGCUUAACUGUAGAACUGCACUUGAAACUUCUAAUCUAGAGUAUGGGAGGGGGAGAUGGAAUUAGUGGUGUAGGGGUAAAAUCCGUAGAUAUCACUAGGAAUACCUAAAGCGAAGGCGAUCUCCUGGAACAUUACUGACGCUAAGGCGUGAAAGCGUGGGGAGCAAACAGGAUUAGAUACCCCAGUAGUC
rnacentral:rRNA from 1 species